ensembl:lncRNA
GGGGGAUCUAUGGGGGAUCAGUGGGGGAUCAGUGGGGCAGCAGUGGGGCAGCAAUGGGCGAUCAAUGGGGGAUAAAUGGGGGAUCAAUGCGGGAUCAGUGGGGGAUCAGUGGGGCAGCAGUGGGGCAGCAAUGGGGGCAGCAAUGGGGUAUCAAUGGGGCAGCAGUGGGGGAUCCAUGGGGGCAGCAAUGGGGGAACAGUGGGGGAUCAGUGGGGCAGCAGUGGGGGAUCAGUGGGGGAUUAAUGGGGCAGCAAUAGGGGAUCGGUGGGGCAGCAAUGGGGGAUCAAUGGGGGAUCCAUGGGGCAGCAAUGGGGAAUCAAUGGGGCAGCAGUGGGGCAGCAGUGGGGGAUCAGUGGGGCGGCAGUGGGGGAUCAAUGGGGUAUUAAUGGGAUAUCCAUGGGGUAUCAGUGGGGCAGCAAUGGGGUAACUAUGGGGGAUCAAUGGGGCAGCAAUGGGGUAUCAAUGGGGCAGCAGUGGGGGAUCAGUGGGGCAGCAAUGGGGUAUGCAUGGGGUAUCAAUAGGGAAUCAAUGGAGGAUCCAUGGGGCAGCAAUGGGGAUCAAUGGGGCAGCAGUGGGGCAGCAGUGGGGGAUCAAUGGAGGAUCAAUGGGGGAUCAGUGGGGCAGCUGUGGGGCAGCAAUGGGGGAUUAAUGGGGCAGUAAUGGGGGAUCAGUGGGGCAGCAAUGGGGGCAGCAAUGGGAUAUCAGUAGGGGAUCAAUGGGGUACCAAUGGGGGAUCCAUGGGGCAGCAGUGGGAGAUCAGUGGGGCAGCAGUGGGGCAGCAAUGGGGGCAGCAAUGGAGGAUCAAUGGGGGAUCCAUGGGGGUCUAUGGGGUAUCAGUGGGGCAGCAAUGGGGCAGCAAUGGGCGAUCAAUGGGGUUUCAAUGGGGCAGCAAUGGGGCAGCAGUGGGGGAUCAGUGGGGGAUCAAUGGGGCAGCAGUGGGGCGGCAGUGGGGCAGCAAUGGGGUAUCAGUGGGGCAGCAGUGGGGGAUCAAUGGGGCAGCAAAGGGGUAUUAUAGGGGCAGCAAUGGGGGAUGAGUGGGGUUUCAAUGGGGUAUGCAUGGGGUAUCAAUAGGGAAUCAAUGGGGGAUCCGUGGGGCAGCAAUGGGGAUCAAUGGGGCAGCAGUGGGGCAGCAGUGGGGGAUCAAUGGGGCAGCAAUGGGGGAUCCAUGGGGUAUUAAUGGGGCAGCAGUGGGGCAGCAAUGGGUGACCAAUGGGGCAGCAAUGGAGGAUCAGUGGGGCAGCAAUGGGGCAGCAAUGGGGCAGCAAUGAGGGAUCCAUGGGGGAUCAGUGGGGCAGCAGUGGGGUGUCCAUGGGGUAUCAAUAGGGAAUCAAUGGGGGAUCCAUGGGGCAGCAAUGGGGAUCAAUGGGGCAGCAGUGGGGCAGCUGUGGGGGAUCAGUGGGGGAUCAGUGGGGGAUCAAUGGGGUUUCAAUGGGGCAGCAAUGGGGGAUCAGUGGGGCAGCUAUGGGGUAUCCAUGGGGUAUCAACAGGGAAUCAAUGGGGGAUCCGUGGGGCAGCUAUGGGGAUCAAUGGGGCAGCAGUGGGGCAGCUGUGGGGGAUCAGUGGGGGAUCAAUGGGGUUUCAAUGGGGCAGCAAUGGGGCACUGUGGGGCAGCAGUGGGGGAUCCAUGGGGGAUCAAUGGGGUCUCAAUGGGGCAGCAGUGGGGCAGCAAUGGGGGAUCAGUGGGGCAGCAAUGGGGCAGCAAUGGGGCAGCAAUGGGGCAGCAGUGGGGGAUCAGUGGGGGAUCAAUGGGGCAGCAGUGGGGCGGCAGUGGGGCAGCAAUGGGGUAUCAGUGGGGCAGCAGUGGGGGAUCAAUGGGGCAGCAAAGGGGUAUUAUAGGGGCAGCAAUGGGGGAUGAGUGGGGUUUCAAUGGGGUAUGCAUGGGGUAUCAAUAGGGAAUCAAUGGGGGAUCCAUGGGGCAGCAGUGGGGAUCAAUGGGGCAGCAGUGGGGCAGCAGUGGGGGAUCAGUGGGGCAGCAAUGGGGUAUCAAUGGGGUUUCAAUGGGGCAGCACUGGGGCAGCAAUGGGUUAUCAAUGGGGCAGCAGUGGGGGAUCAGUGGGGGAUCAAUGGGGCAGCAGUGGGGGAUCAGUGGGGUAUUAAUGGGGGAUACGGGGGGGCAGUAAUGGGGGAUCUAUGGGGCAGCAGUGGGGCAGCAAUGGGGGAUCCAUGGGGCAGCAGUGGGGGAUCAAUGGGGUCUCAAUGGGGCAGCAGUGGGGCAGCAAUGGGGGAUCAAUGGGGCAAUAAUGCGGUAUUAAUGGGGGAUCAAUGGGGCACCAAUGGGGGAUCAGUGGGGCAGAAAUGGGGCAGCAAUGGGGGAUCAAUGGGGUAUCAAUGGGGCAGCAGUGGGGCAGCAAUGGGGCAGCAAUGGGGGAUCAAUGGGGGAUCCAUGGGGGUCUAUGGGGUAUCAGUGGGGCAGCAAUGGGGCAGCAAUGGGGGAUCAAUGGGGUUUCAAUGGGGCAGCAGUGGGGGAUUAAUGGGGGAUCCAUGGGGAUCUAUGGGGUAUCAGUGGGGCAGCAAUGGGGGAUCAGUGGGGGAUCAGUGGGGCAGCAGUGGGGCAGCAAUGGGGCAGCAAUGGGGGAUCAAUGGGGGAUCAGUGGGGGAUCAGUGGGGCAGCAAUGGGACGUUGCGGCCAUCAAUGGGGACAUUGGUGACCCCAAAGGGCCACCAAUGACCCCAAAAGUGCCACUGAAGACCCCAAAAAGGACAUCGGUGACCCCAAAAGUGCCAUCAGAGACCCCAAAAGUGCCAUUGCUGACCCCAAAGGUGCCAUUGCUGACCCCAAAGUGCCACUGAAGACCCCAAGAAGGACAUUGGUGACCCUAAAAGGGACAUGGGUGACCCCAAAGUGGCCAUUUAUGACCCCAAAAGGGACAUUGCUGACCCCAAAAGUGCCACUGAUGACCCCAAAAGUGCCAUUGCUGACCCCAAAGUGCCAUUGCUGACCCCAAGAAGGACAUUGGUGACCCUAAAAGGGACAUUGCUGACCCCAAAGCUCCAUCACUGACCCCAAAAAGGACAUUGAUGACCCCAAAAGUGCCAUCGGUGACCCCAAAAGGGACAUUGCUGACCCCAAAGUGCCAUCGGUGACCCCAAAAGUGCCAUUGCUGACCCCAAAAGUGCCAUUUAUGACCCCACAAAGGACAUUGGUGACCCUAAAAGGGACAUGGGUGACCCCAAAGUGGCCAUUUAUGACCCCAAAAGGGACAUUGCUGACCCCAAAAUGCCAUUGCUGACCCCAAAGCGCCACUGAAGACCCCAAGAAGGACAUUGGUGACCCUAAAAGGGACAUGGGUGACCCCAAAGUGGCAAU